CGAGGACGCACGGUGCCCACACGGGGCGGUGGGAGCCCGGCUUGCCACCACCCCACGCUUGUCACCAGUUGCCCUGGAAAGCGUGCUGCGGAGGUUCUGAGGGCAGGCAGGCCACAGAGAGCUUUUGUUUGGGGGUUUUUUGUUUUGUUUUGGUUUGGUUUUUUUUUUGUUUUGGAGCUUUUCAGGGACCAGUUAAACUCGGUUCACGUGUAAUGGGCCUCAGGUCAGAAGGGCCUGGUGAACACAGUCCUGGCAGCCUCCUGGGCCCCCGAGGAAGGGCCAUUUCCUCCUGUGGAUGCAAGACAGCGCAGUCCCAUUUCCUCCCCAGCUCCGCAGGAAGAGAAGAGGAGAAAGAAAGGAUGGACGGACGGACACAGCGUCUCACACCCACACGGCCCUCUUCCAAGGAUCCCACCCGGGACACGGUACACGCAGCUGUUACGUCUCCUCUUGGCUGUGAGUUUCUCAGAUUUCUCCGGUUUUUGAUGACCUUGACCAUUUUGAAAGGUGCUGGUAGGUAUUCUAUAAAAUGUCCCUGAUGUCUGGUUGACGCUCGUACUGGGGUGACGGAUGUGGGAGGAAGCUCACAGACGUGAAGGUCUUCUCGUCCUGUCUGGGG